AUUACUGUAUGGUUUAUUUAAUACAAAGGUGUAGACAUUUUGAAAAUUUUUAAAUUGGAGUUCACUAUAACCUGUGUAAUCGAUAUUUAGUAAUGGCUGCUGCGUUGAAUAUAUCUUUGUACCUGUUCUCCUGUUUUUGUUCGAUUAUACAAGCCGAGUACUGUUACUAUUAUGAAAAUGGUUUUAAAUAUAUCCAAGCCUCUAAGUAUUGUUCUGAUGGAUGUUGUACCACCGGAACUGACGCCACCAUUUACAACGUAUGUUGCUAUUCCUACGACAACGGGGGCGAAAACAGUCAUUUGAUCAAUACCAUCAUAGGAAUAGCAGUAGGUGUAGUGGCAUGUGUUAUAUCUAUCGUAGUGGUUAUAGUUAUUAUUGCAUGUUGUUGCUGUAAACGACAACCACCAACCCAGGGUCAUGUUAUUGCAGUCCCAAACACAACUGUGGUAUAUUCUAAUACUGUUGAUCCAGGAGUUGCGUAUCCUUCACAAGGAACUAAUAACCCGACAUCUCCUGCAACUGGAUAUUCUUCUCCACCACCGCCUUAUGAAACAGGUACCUCCCCCGGACAAGAUAACCAUGGCUUCCAAACAAAUGUCAAUAUGAAUUAAUUAACUUCAGUGAUAAUGAGUGAUUAUUAACUGUAUAUAGACAGAAAACCGUUGAUCGUAUGAACUGUAUAUGGAGAAUUGUUUGAGAUUUGUUUGUUAAAUUAAUUGUAUAAAGGCAGAUGAUGGUUUAUUAUAUUAACUAUAUAUAGAUAUAUAAUGGUUUUUUAUAUUAAUUGUAUAUAGACAGGGAACUGUUUAUUAUAUUAACUGUACAUAGACACCAACCCCACAUGCCUGAAUCUGAAUUUCGUUUCAUCUGGAUAUUCAAGAAAAUAAUCCAAUUAAUCCAAAACUCACUCAUUUUGGAUGAACACCAACUUGUUGAUCUACUUAAUGUUUAUUAUAAAAUAAAAAAUAUUUCUUAA